CUGGCCCUUUUAGGGUCCGAGUUGUAAUUUGUAGAAGAUGCUUUGGGUGUGGCUCCGGUCUAAGUUCCUUGGAACAGGACGUCAUAGAGGGUGAGAAUCCCGUAUGUGACUGGCGGCCUUCGCCCGUGUAAAGCUCUUUCGACGAGUCGAGUUGUUUGGGAAUGCAGCUCUAAAUGGGAGGUAUAUUUCUUCUAAAGCUAAAUACUGGCCAGAGACCGAUAGCGCACAAGUAGAGUGAUCGAAAGAUGAAAAGCACUUUGGAAAGAGAGUUAAACAGUACGUGAAAUUGUUGAAAGGGAAGCGCUUGCAACCAGACUUGCAUGCCGUCGAUCAUCGUGGGUUCUCCCGCGUGCACUCGGCGGCGUUCAGGCCAGCAUCGGUUCCGGUGGUUGGAUAAAGGCCUUGGGAAUGUGGCUCCUCUCGGGGAGUGUUAUAGCCCUCGGUGCAAUGCAGCCUACUGGGACCGAGGACCGCGCUUCGGCUAGGAUGCUGGCGUAAUGGUUGUAAGCGACCCGUCUUGAAACACGGACCAAGGAGUCUAACAUCUAUGCGAGUGUUAGGGUGUUAAACCCUUCCGCGAAAUUAACGUGAACGGAGGUACGAACCCUUUAGGGCGCAGUAUCGACCGGUCCUGAUGUCUUCGGAUGGAUCUGAGUAAGAGCAUAGCUGUUGGGACCCGAAAGAUGGUGAACUAUGCCUGAAUAGGGUGAAGCCAGAGGAAACUCUGGUGGAGCUCGCAGCGGUUCUGACGUGCAAAUCGAUCGUCAAAUUAGGGCAUAGGGGCGAAGACUAAUCGACCAUCUAGUAGCUGU
rnacentral:rRNA from 1 species